rnacentral:rRNA from 1 species
AUUGAACGCUAGCGGGAUGCUUUACACAUGCAAGUCGAACGGCAGCGCGAGAGAGCUUGCUCUCUUGGCGGCGAGUGGCGGACGGGUGAGUAAUAUAUCGGAACGUGCCCAGUAGCGGGGGAUAACUACUCGAAAGAGUGGCUAAUACCGCAUACGCCCUACGGGGGAAAGGGGGGGAUCGCAAGACCUCUCACUAUUGGAGCGGCCGAUAUCGGAUUAGCUAGUUGGUGGGGUAAAGGCUCACCAAGGCAACGAUCCGUAGCUGGUUUGAGAGGACGACCAGCCACACUGGGACUGAGACACGGCCCAGACUCCUACGGGAGGCAGCAGUGGGGAAUUUUGGACAAUGGGGGAAACCCUGAUCCAGCCAUCCCGCGUGUAUGAUGAAGGCCUUCGGGUUGUAAAGUACUUUUGGCAGAGAAGAAAAGGUAUCUCCUAAUACGAGGUGCUGCUGACGGUAUCUGCAGAAUAAGCACCGGCUAACUACGUGCCAGCAGCCGCGGUAAUACGUAGGGUGCAAGCGUUAAUCGGAAUUACUGGGCGUAAAGCGUGUGUAGGCGGUUCGGAAAGAAAGAUGUGAAAUCCCAGGGCUCAACCUUGGAACUGCAUUUUUAACUGCCGAGCUAGAGUAUGUCAGAGGGGGGUAGAAUUCCACGUGUAGCAGUGAAAUGCGUAGAUAUGUGGAGGAAUACCGAUGGCGAAGGCAGCCCCCUGGGAUAAUACUGACGCUCAGACAC